rnacentral:rRNA from 1 species
UACGUAGGGUGCAAGCGUUGUCCGGAAUUAUUGGGCGUAAAGAGCUCGUAGGCGGUCUGUCGCGUCUGGUGUGAAAAUCCAGGGCUUAACCCUGGACCUGCAUCGGGUACGGGCAGACUAGAGUGCGGUAGGGGAGAUCGGAAUUCCUGGUGUAGCGGUGAAAUGCGCAGAUAUCAGGAGGAACACCGGUGGCGAAGGCGGGUCUCUGGGCAGUAACUGACGCUGAGGAGCGAAAGCGUGGGGAGCGAACAGG